GACGGGGGCGGGGCUAGUGCUGAGACGUGGGCGGGCGCGCAGCAGGAAGGGGCGGAUCCCAACCCGAGGCCCCAACUGUAGCUUCAGUUGAGCUGUGAAAGCGGAUUGAGCCACGAGGCCCCGGGGGCGUUAGAAGCAGCUGCCUGAGCCCUGUGUGCUCCUGCUUCCCUCCCCAGAUCUCUGUAAUGGGGCGGGUUCCUACCGGAGCCAAUAGUCUGCGAUUCUUUUCUUUCUGUUUAAAAAGGCGUUAUAAUACAAAAAGAUGAAUUCGCAUAUAAAUAAGAUGAAUGUAAAAAUAUAAAUCUAUGAGAAUGUAAAUAUAAAAUGAACUCAAAAUGGAUCAAAGAUCUAAGUGGAAGAGCUCAAACCACAAAACUCUCAGAAAGGAGGACCCUGCUGUGGCAUAGCAGCUCAUUCCCAUUUCCUCUUCCAUGAUGCGCUUGUGCAGGCUCCUGGGCAGCAGCCAUGAAAGGGUAAUGACCCUUAGGGACUGCAGGCCUGAGAAAUGAAACUUCCCAGCUAUGAAGACAGGAAGAGUUUCAGCAUGCUGGAUGGAAAUAAGACAAGCUCCCCCCAAGCAGGUUGAGAGAAUGAAAAGGAGUUCGUGGGCUUGUCACCGGAAAGCCCUGGGCAGGCUAGGGCAUCAAGCUCAGCUUCCCCCCAGGGUCCGGGAGGCAUCAGCACUUCGGAUAAGUUUUCUUCUUCUCCUGGUUCAUCAACUCUUCAUCAGACCCCGACCCCCGUGUGCCUGUGCCACUAUGGAAGCUGUGACUCUCCCUCCCUCCUCCCCUGGCCCAGGCUCAGGGAUCCGUCACUCUAUGCUCUACUUCUAUGAUGUCAGCCCUUCUGUGAUCCCCACACAGGGGAGAUGGCCCAGCGUUUGUCUUUCUGUGAGAGCCACCCACCCGUCACCUCCAUCACCUCCCCAGGGUGCACACAGGGACCCAAACAUCACACGGGACCAAAGCCAUGCACACAUGGUGAAUUUUAUUCAUGAGAAGCAUGUGCAAAUGCUCAAGAAAAGAAAAGUUCAGUCAGCUCAGCGGAUAGCUCCUGGAGACGGGGGCGGGGCGAGGCUACUUGGGGACAACUCUGCAGCAGCUGCCA